rnacentral:rRNA from 1 species
AGAACGAACGCUGGCGGCAGGCUUAACACAUGCAAGUCGAACGCACCGCAAGGUGAGUGGCAGACGGGUGAGUAACGCGUGGGAAUCUACCCAGCCCUUCGGAAUAGCUCCGGGAAACUGGAAUUAAUACCGAGUACGCCCUACGGGGGAAAGAUUUAUCGGGGUUGGAUGAGCCCGCGUUGGAUUAGCUAGUUGGUGGGGUAAUGGCCUACCAAGGCGACGAUCCAUAGCUGGUCUGAGAGGAUGAUCAGCCACACUGGGACUGAGACACGGCCCAGACUCCUACGGGAGGCAGCAGUGGGGAAUAUUGGACAAUGGGCGAAAGCCUGAUCCAGCCAUGCCGCGUGAGUGACGAAGGCCUUAGGGUUGUAAAGCUCUUUCAGUGGGGAAGAUAAUGACGGUACCCACAGAAGAAGCCCCGGCAACUACGUGCCAGCAGCCGC